rnacentral:miRNA from 1 species
UUUCAAUUCUGCCUUGGUUUAUAGAGUGUGUGUUUGCAGGAGGCACAUAUGAUAAUGUCAGAUAUGACAUCAUUUAUAGUUGUGACAAGUGUGUGCAUGCAUAUGUGUGUAUGUGUGU